AGUACUAAGGUCAUGUACUUAUUUUCCAGAAAAUUUCUAAUAUCCAGGAGAAUAUUAGGAAUUGCACCAGGGAAAUAUUGGCCAAGUUGCAUGGUAUCAGCAGGCCUACGAUCAGCCACCCAGCAGUGAGAAUGAAAGAGAAAGACAGAAGACCAAAAAGAAUAUUGAUGAAAGAUUGACAUCUGCUGUACCACUGUUGGAUGUUUCUGAAGUAAGAGUGCCAUGAAAUGGAUAUGGAUUGGACAAAAUGUGGACCACGGUAUUUCAUGAGGUUAGGACGCUCGGCUGAAGAGCCGCAGGUUCAUGUUCGAGACCCAGUUGUUGCCAUGGGAUGAGGUGAUCAUCAUCAUCAUCAUCAUCAUCAUCAUCAUCAUCAUCUAACCUACCAAAUGUUUCCUUUAGAAAUUUUACAUUUAAAACAGGAGAGUAAAAGUGAAAGAUUGAAAUAAAUAAGUGCAAUUUGUAUCUAUUUCCCUAGAAGCAAAGGAUUGUGUCACAUUUACCUAAAGACUUAAUAUGUUUAUUUUGCUUUUACAUCUGUUGUUACAUCUGUAACAUAUUGUUAUGAUAAAAAGAGUUCAAUAAAAAUAUCAUUUCUUAAAAUUCAGCCUUAGAGAAAAUAAUUAUCAUAUUAUUGUGGAUAACAUAUAGUUCUAGAGCAAUAGUACUGAGAAUGUUGCAGAGUUUGUAGCAAAUAGAAUGAAUAAUUGAAACUCCACAACUUUUAUUCUCCAUGUAGAGAGACAGACCAAUAUUUCAUGUCAUGUAAAAUAAUUCAGUGUAUUUGCAUAAAAUGUGAAUUAUCUGUUACUGACCAAUACAAAAACAACUAUGAGGGCACUUUGAUUUAAGUUGCAAAGAACAUUCAUAAAUAAUCUUGGAAAGCAAGAUGUACCUACAUUUAAUCAGCACUUGUUAAAAUUUUAUUCCCUACAGUUAUUCAACAGGAUCCAUGGUAUAAGAGCAUAAUUACAAAAAUCAGAUUUGAGCUCAUUUGACAACAGAAGGGUUUUUAUGGUGACCUAUCUCCAAAUGUUCCUAUUUGUAAUUAAAUGCAGCAAUCAGCAGUAAGGAUUCUGAAGCUGUUUUAGUAGUUCCGCUAUUCUGCUUAACAUGUGGCACCCGUAAUAAUUAAAAUGAUACUAACACAUGCACAAUUUUAUGGCCCUUAUGGUGCAACCCAUUAUGCCAAGUAAGGGCCUCUGUUUUCACAGCAUACUGCACAUGGUCUCAUUACACCCACUUUUCUUUUCCUGUCUUCACACUAACAACUGUUAAAAGUGAAUCAACACACGAAACGUACUCUAACAGCUCAGUGUUUAUGAUAUGUGUGCUGUUAGUCAGUGAACAGGAAAAUCUAAACAUUUACUGUUUAUGUAAAGAAUAGUGCUAGUGUUCAUGAAUUGCUUAGGUCUGAUUAUUUUACUAUCCAGAUCCAAUGUACCGGUGAGUUUUCUUACCACCUAUCCUUCCCCUCCAGUUUUUACUUUUGAGUGCUAGCAGGCUGUUGCGAAUUUGUAGAGCCUCAGUUCAACUUAUCCCAAAAAGCCAAUGUUUUCUGGAUUAACGUGCUUUUUUUAAAAAAAUGUGAAUAAUUUUGUAAUUAUGCAGCUACUCAAAGACCCCCACACUCAUUUUACAGUCAUCAAUUCUGAAUGGUUUCCAGUCUCUCUGGUCUGGGAUACAUUCCAAAGUCAGUCCCCCAGGUAGAACUUCAAUGGAUUGAACUAAAUCUAGCCUCUGCAUUUUCUAUUAUGGCUCUUUAUGAACAUUAGUUGAAACUUCAGAUAAGCAGCAUAACUACCCAUCCUUUUUCAUCUCCUUCACUACUGCCAAUAACAACUUAACCCUAACAAUUUCAUACAUUUUCUAUAUAAUCUACACUUUAAAUGAGACAAGCACUUUCUGUCAAUCAAAUGGAGUAUUACACCAAAGUAUCCCAUCAGAUAAUAACGGUGUUUCGUUUAGGUUUUGCAUUAUGG